rnacentral:rRNA from 1 species
GGACCCGCACAAGCGGUGGAACAUGUGGUUUAAUUCGAUGACAAGCGAAGAACCUUACCAGGGCUUGACAUCCUGCGAAUCCCGAUGAAAGUUGGGAGUGCCGUAAGGAGCGCAGUGACAGGUGUUGCACGGUCGUCGUCAGCUCGUGCUGUGAAGUGUCCCGUUAAGUCGGUAAACGAGCGCAACCCCUCUCGUAUGUUAAAUUUUUCAUACGAUACUGCCGGCGUUAAGUCGGAGGAAGGUGGGGAUGACGUCAGAUCAGCGUGACUCUUACGCCCUGGGCGACACACGUGUUACAAUGGGUAGCAACAAUGGGUUGCCAAGUCGAAAGGCGGAGCUAAUCCCAUCAAACCUACCCCCAGUUCGGAUUGAGGGCUGAAACUCGCCCUCAUGAAGUCGGAAUCGCUAGUAAUCGUGGGUCAGCCAUACCACGGUGAAUACGUUCUCGGGUCUU